rnacentral:rRNA from 1 species
GAUGAACGCUAGCUACAGGUCUUAACACAUGCAAGUCGAGGGGCAUCGGGAAGAAAGCUUGCUUUCUUUGCUGGCGACCGGCGCACGGGUGAGUAACACGUAUCCAACCUGCCCUUUACUCGGGGAUAGUCUUUCGAAAGAAAGAUUAAUACCCGAUAGCAUAAUGAUUCCGCAUGGUUUCAUUAUUAAAGGAUUCCGGUAAAGGAUGGGGAUGCGUUCCAUUAGGUUGUUGGUGAGGUAACGGCUCACCAAGCCUUCGAUGGAUAGGGGUUCUGAGAGGAAGGUCCCCCACAUUGGAACUGAGACACGGUCCAAACUCCUACGGGAGGCAGCAGUGAGGAAUAUUGGUCAAUGGGCGGUAGCCUGAACCAGCCAAGUAGCGUGAAGGAUGAAGGCUCUAUGGGUCGUAAACUUCUUUUAUAUAAGAAUAAAGUGCAGUAUGUAUACUGUUUUGUAUGUAUUAUAUGAAUAAGGAUCGGCUAACUCCGUGCCAGCAGCCGCGGUAAUACGGAGGAUCCGAGCGUUAUCCGGAUUUAUUGGGUUUAAAGGGAGCGUAGGUGGACUGGUAAGUCAGUUGUGAAAGUUUGCGGCUCAACCGUAAAAUUGCAGUUGAUACUGUCAGUCUUGAGUACAGUAGAGGUGGGCGGAAUUCGUGGUGUAGCGGUGAAAUGCUUAGAUAUCACGAAGAACUCCGAUUGCGAAGGCAGCUCACUGGACUGCAACUGACACUGAUGCUCGAAAGUGUGGGUAUCAAACAGG